AUGGCAACUCGGUUACAGCUGCGGAUGAAUGAUCUUAUCGGGCCAUGCCAAAACACAUUCAUAAAAGGAAGAGCCAUUCACGACAAUUUCUGUUACGUGAACGGACUGGCCAAAGCUUUCCGCAGAUCAAAAACACUGGCGUUGUUGCUUAAGCUUGACAUCCAACGUGCCUUUGAUACGGUGUCCUGGGAGUUCUUGCUCGAGCUGCUGGCCACAAGGGGGUUUGGGAGGAGUUUCACCAAUUGCCUGUCUGCGCUGCUUUGCACCUCGUCCACAAGAAUUCUGGUCAAUGGUGAAUUCUCUGAAAAGAUUGAUCUGAUGAAGGGGCUCACGCAGGGGGACCCACUAUCCCCACUCUUGUUCGCUCUAGUAAUGGAUUGCCUGGUCGUCCUGAUCGACAAGGCGGUGACUACGGGGAUUCUUGGUCCAAUUGGAAAUCAAAAACUGCCAUUCAGAACUUCGCUGUACGCCGAUGACGCAGUCCUCUUCAUCAACCCUUGCCGCAGGGAGGUGCUUGCGGCGAUUCAACUACUCAACCUGUUCGGAGACGCUACAGGCCUGCGCACAAACUUUGCAAAAUCAUCUGUCUCCACUAUCUGCUGCACCGGGAUCGACCUCCAUGAGCUUUUACAGGACUUGGGCUGCCCUAUCAAGGAAUUCCCAUGCACUUAUUUUGGCAUGCCACUGGCGGACACGAAACUGAAGAAAAAUGACCUUCAACCUAUCUGCGACAGGAUCAUUGGCAGGAUGAAGAGCUGGAAGCUGGCCUCACUUAUCCUAGAUGGGAGGGUGGAUCUGGUCAGAACGGUGCUCUCGGCGAUGCCAAUCUUCCAAAUGCUCGCGCUAAUCUUACCGGCAUGGCUUGCUAAGCUUAUUGACAAGGUACAACGUGGGUUCCUUUGGGAGGGCAGCGAGGUGGCGUCCGGAGGGAAAUGUCUUGUCAGUUGGAGAACCGUCUGUAGGCCGAAGGAAUUCGGCGGGCUCGGCAUCAUCAAUUUGAUGGCCCAAAGUCGCGCCCUGCAGAUGAGGUGGCUGUGG
rnacentral:rRNA from 1 species